rnacentral:rRNA from 1 species
AACGCGAAGAACCUUACCUGGGCUCGAACGGCUUCCCAACGGCGUUAGAAAUAGCGCUACCCCGCAAGGGGGUGGAGUCGAGGUGCUGCAUGGCUGUCGUCAGCUCGUGCCGUGAGGUGUUGGGUUAAGUCCCGCAACGAGCGCAACCCUUACUCAUAGUUGCUACCCGCAAGGGAGAACUCUAUGAGGACUGCUCCGGAUAACGGAGAGGAAGGUGGGGAUGAGGUCAAGUCAGCAUGGCCUUUAUGUCCAGGGCUACACACGUGUUACAAUGCGCGCUACAGAGCGUUGCAAACCCGCGAGGGGGAGCUAAUCGCACAAAAGCGCGCUCAGUUCGGAUUGCAGUCUGCAACUCGACUGCAUGAAGCCGGAAUCGCUAGUAAUGGCGCAUCAGAACGGCGCCGUGAAUACGUUCCCGGGCCUUGUCACACCGAGUAUA